GCAAAGAACAACCGGUAGUCAACCCCCGCAUUAUUAGUUUAAAUUAAUGUUUUGAAUUUUAUAAAAUUCAAAACAUGUAAAAUUAUAAAAUAUAAUGUAGCAAUAAGUUUUGUAUUGCUAUGCCAUCUAUGUGUUGUAUACCAAAAUAAUAGUGGCCUGCAACAAUAAAGUAAGUUUAGCGGAAGCUGCACAAUAAGGGGAAAGCCUGUCACUAAUGCUAAACAUGCACAAAAAAUGACAAGGAAUGCAAGCAUUGGGAGAAGCUUUGAGCUUUGCAAAGUGCUGUGUAUGAAGGAAGGUACCUAAAGGCAUGAAUUUAUUAUAAACAGAACAGAAAAUUUAUGGAACACAUUGCCAUUGGAAGUUGUCAAGUAAACAAAUGAAAGAUUUGUGAAAUUUAACUACUCCUUUAUUAGUUUUUGAUUCUGAAAUUAAGUAAUUUCUAAUCCGCAUAGUUUCCAGUGGAUUAAUAUUUUUCUUAGAAUGCAAAACUUUCAUUAGUUCUCUGAAUUGUGACACUAUUUUUGCAUAACAUUGCAAAGUCUUCACUUGUUACACAUACAAGUUUUUAUUUAUGUUUUUAAAUAAAUUUAAUCUGGAGUUGAUAAGAUUAUGGCAAUGUUUUUAAAUUGUUAAUUAGAAUGUAGUUUUCUGAGAAAAGAUAAAAUAAAUUGACCUAUAUCUUAAUCAAUUUUAAUAUGAAGCUAAUAGAAUAGUGUAAACUUUUUUUAUGUUUUUUUGGAAAUCAUAAUAAGAUGUAGGUUUUAUUAAAUUUUUAAGAUGUAGAUGAUAAUUUUUAGAUAGAUUAGAACAUUUACAAAAAUUUUCCCAAAUAAAUAUGACAGUUUUUACCAUAACAAUUUAAUUUAUGUAUGCCUUUAAUGUGUAUUUGUUUUUACUAAGUAUUUAAUAUUAUUUUUAUUACCUUUAUUGUUAUUUUUUUACUUAAAUUUAUCAACAAAAAAAAUUACCAAUUUUUUUCUGAAUUAUAUUUUGUAUCUUUGAAUGAAUCUCAAAAUUGAAAAUUAUGAAAAAGAACAUUUCUUUCUCAAAAUUCAAAUUUAUGGCCAACCAACAAGAAAGAUCUUUGUUUUAUGAGCAGAAAUAUUCCCUUCAACAUUUAGAAAGUUUCAGACACCAAUUUCUAUUUGUGUUUCAAAAUGACCACAACUAUGCAUUGCAAAUAAUACCUGUUGAUCAAUCUUAUUCUAAUACAAUCAAUGAUAAAACAUCAACAGCUUAUUUAAAUAAAAAUGCAAGCCUUAAAGAUCAAAAUGUAAUUGAGGUUAAUAUGCAUAAUGAAACUUCUGACAAAGUUUUUAUUCCACUUUCCAUGACAUCAGAAAAAUCUGUGACAUCAAAAAAUUCAAAAGCAACUUUGAACAUAACUGCAGCAACUCCUGCCAUAACUAAAAAAACAGAGACACUUACCUUUAAUGAAGUUCUGACUCUAUUACAAAAUGCUACUUAUUUUAAUAAUGGAGAAGAAACUAUACCUGUUCGUCCCAAAGCAGGAGAAAUUUAUGGGUUUACAAUUUCCAGUGACAAAACAUUAAAAAAGCAUUUGCGAGCAGAUGGCUAUAUGUGGAGGAACAAAAAAAGUUGUGCAUUAGGAAAUGGUUUAAUCACUAAGACAUAUUUUUAACUAACACGAUAUAUUUAUGUUUUAUAAUAAAAAAGUUGUGUUUUUUUAUUUAUUAGAGUAAUUUCUGUUAUUUAUAUAUAGCUUUUGAAACACUUACAGUGAGUUUGCGAAUAAUUUGAAAGAAGUUUUAGUUAAAAUUUUCCUUGUGUAAGAUAUUUUUUUAUACCCAUUUGUUUUCAUAUAGUAUUUAGUUUUAAAUACUUUUAGUAAUAGUAGAAAAGAAAAUGUUUUUAAAGUUGUUGCUUUUUUUAUCAAUAAAUCUGGUAUAAUUGGUAUUGUUUUGUUUUGCAUCAUAAUACAAAUUUUCAUAAAAUAGUUAUAUAUUGUUAUAUAUUUUCAUGUUAUGUAAAACUUCUUUAACAUAGAUAGAUUUAUGUAACAUAGACACCCGAAAAUUGCGAUAUAGGUUGACAUCUAUUUCAAAUGAUAUCAAAAAUUAACUUUGAAUAUGGGUGUAUGUAAAAACACUGGCAACCAGCUUGUAUGCCAAUAUAUAAAAGUCUCAUUGACCCAUGUUUCAGUGUAUGCUGAUGUAGCUUCUAAAAUGUGAGAGGGCAAGGAAAUUAGACGUUACAGUACUUUUCACAAACUAAUCUGGCUUUAGUCUAUAUACUACAAGAAGUAAUAAGAAAAAUCAAUUUCAGAAGAUUACCAAUCCUUUCUUCCUGGCAUCUUUCAAAAACUCUUAAAAGUGAAUUUGGCAUUGACAGAUACUAAAUGGCGAUAAUUAUGUUAUAUCAGCAAAACGAGUAAUGAACAGUUUUAGUCUUCAACGGUUGAAAUUACUCAGCAAACAUGAAUUCAUUGAAGAAACUGAUUGUCGUUGCUCUAGCAUAAAGAUCGUUGCACGAUCGACCUGAUAAAAGAUGAAAUUACUUAUAUAUGUGAUUAAUUAAAAAAAGACAAUUAGUUUGUAAAUAAUCAGGUGAAUGGUAGCCUUUAUUAUAUGGCUGGUUGUGUUUAGCACAGGAUGUUGUGCAUAGUUAAUGUAACAAUAUCAGUUUUUCAGUUCCAAAAUUAAAAAUUAUGUUUCACAUAG